rnacentral:lncRNA from 1 species
CGUACGCACGCACUUGCCACAAGGAGACGCUGUUCAGUUUACCGGAUCCUGUCCCGCGCCAGCCAACCAGGACAAGGCCGGGGAGCUCGAGACAGGCAGCCUAGACCAAGAACCGGAAGGAGGAAAAGGAACCGGAGGGAGGAAGAGGAGGGGCGGGACGAGACCACCAGGCAGGAUUUUUAAGCCCAGAGCUGCGAGACCAGCAGGAAGGAACUGGGAGAAACCAAUGGGGAGGGGAUGGGGGCGGGGCUGAGAGGAGGAGGGCGGAGCUGGGGGAGGGGAAGGGCGGGAGUGAGGAAACCGCUGGGGCGGGGUUGAGAGUGGGGCGGGGACUUGAGGGGAUGGGGCGGGGACUUGGGAUGGGGCGGGGACUCGAGGGGGUGGGGCGGGGCUGAGAGAAACCAUUGGGGGCGGGGCUAUGGGCGAUCUGGGCGAGGAGAGGCUGCAGGAGGAGCUCGCGGACUCCUGAGAACCAGCGCGGGGAGGGAGGGGGCUGGUGAGAGGAGGAAGGUGGGGCUGAAAGAAACCAGUGGGGAGGGGUUGGGGGCGGGGCUUUGGAAGCUGGUGCUGGAGAAGCAGGGCAGGGCUGGGGGAGGAGUGGGGCGGGGCGGGGUUCGGGGGGGGCUGGGGCUCGGGGAGGGGUGGGGCGGGGCUGAGGGAACCGCCGGGGAGGGGCUCGGGGGCGGGGCUUUGAAAACAGCCUUUGGAGAAGCGGGGCUGGGGGGGCGGGGCAGGGCCGAGGGGAACCUCUGGGGUGGGGCUGGGGGGUGGGGUUUGCACGCAGCCACAGGAGAAACAGGGCGGGGCUCAGAAAAGGGUUGGAUCGGGCUGAGAGAGACCGCUGAGGGGGGUGCUGGGGGCGGGGCUUUGGAAGCACCCGCGGGAGAAACAGGGAGGAGAUGGGGAGAGGCGGGGCUCGGCGCGGGGCGGGGCUUCGGAGGCAGCCGCGGGAGAAGCAGGGGGGGGUUCGGGGCAGGGCGGGUCUGAGCGAAGCCAUUGGGGAGCGGCUGGGGGCGGGGCCUUUUAACCAGCCGCAGGAGGAGCCGGGUGGGGCUGGGGCGGGGCGGAGCUGAGAGAAACCGCUGAGGAUGGGCUGGGGGCGGGGCCUUGGAAGCAGGCGUUGGAGGGGCGGGGUAGGGCCGGGCCGAGAGAAACCACUGGGGAGGGUCUGGGGUCGGGGCUUUGCCAUCAGUGGUGUGAGGAGCAGGCCGGGGCAGUGGGCAAUUGAGCGAGGAACAGCUGCGGGAGGACUCCGCGGACUCCUGAGAACCAGCUUAGGGGAGCGGCGGCUUGGGGAGGUGUAGGGUGGAAUCACGAGAAAGCUCUGUGGGAGGGCCUGGUGCACAGCUCAGCUGCAGGGUGGAGCUGAGGGAAAGCCGGGCGUUCCUGGAGGAGGAGCAGGGCGAGGCUGUGGCAAAGCGCUGUGGGAGCAGAUGGGGCGGGGCUGCGGGAAAGAGCUGGAGAAGGAGGAGCCAAGCUGCACCAAGGCUGGCGGGCAAGAGUCCAAACUUUCCCGCGGCGACCUAACUGCACCUCCAGUGUCUUCCCCCAGAGGGCACAGAAGCAGCAAGAAGGGCGGGAACACUUGACUGGGGUCCAUGCAGCUCUAGGCUGAGUCUUGCAGGGCUGAGCCCCCCAGGCCUGCUCUCCUGUGUCCUGGCCGCUCCGU